AUUAGGCGGUUUUGGUGGGGAAGCAAGGAGGGUAAGUGUAAACCAGCUUGGCCCUCAUGGGACACAAUGACACGACCAAAAUAUAUGGGUGGUCUUGGCUUAGAUUUUGAGAUUUUUAAUCUUGCUCUGCUUGCACGUCAAACAUGUAAAAUUUUGCAGGCUCCAGAUUCACUUAUUUCUUGUAUUGUAAAGGCUAACUAUUUCCCAUCGUGCUCAAUACUUGAUGCUCAACUUGGGUCACACCCAUCACGGAUUUGAAGAGCAAUAAUUGAAGGUCGUGAUGUUUUGUGUCAAGGACUAAUCAGGAGGAUUUGUGAUGGCUCGGGAACUCAUAUUUGGAACCAUAACUGGCUAUCGAGGGAUGAACUAAUGAGGUCUCAUAUUUAG
rnacentral:rRNA from 1 species